GGUUACGGCCAUAUCCUGGUGAAAAUACGGCUUCCCGUCCGAUCAGCCAUA
rnacentral:rRNA from 1 species